rnacentral:rRNA from 1 species
UGGAGAGUUUGAUCCUGGCGUCAGGCCUAACACAUGCAAGUCGAGCGGCAGCGGGAAAGUAGCUUGCUACUUUUGCCGGCGAGCGGCGGACGGGUGAGUAAUGCCUGGGAAAUUGCCCAGUCGAGGGGGAUAACAGUUGGAAACGACUGCUAAUACCGCAUACGCCCUACGGGGGAAAGCAGGGGACCUUCGGGCCUUGCGCGAUUGGAUAUGCCCAGGUGGGAUUAGCUUGUUGGUGAGGUAAUGGCUCACCAAGGCGACGAUCCCUAGCUGGUCUGAGAGGAUGAUCAGCCACACUGGAACUGAGACACGGUCCAGACUCCUACGGGAGGCAGCAGUGGGGAAUAUUGCACAAUGGGGGAAACCCUGAUGCAGCCAUGCCGCGUGUGUGAAGAAGGCCUUCGGGUUGUAAAGCACUUUCAGCGAGGAGGAAAGGUUGAUGCCUAAUACGUAUCAGCUGUGACGUUACUCGCAGAAGAAGCACCGGCUAACUCCGUGCCAGCAGCCGCGG